rnacentral:misc_RNA from 1 species
AACACAAAUCUUCAACCAAAUCCACCUUAGAGGCAAGCCUCAAUCAGACCAAGCUGGGUUAAGCCCAGGUACAAAACCCUCCUGCCCAAAUUCGACUUUUUAGUUAGUUGGGCCAAGCAAGUUCCCACUUCCCAAUCUUGCGAAAGUGUCUAAUUACCAUCCAUGCCAUUUCAAAAAUAAGAAAGAUGGUUUUCAGUGGAGUCUCAUAAACAACCUUCGGUUAAGUUAAAAUGUUUGGAAAAGUAUGCUCCCAAUAUUCACAUUGAAUUACACAUAAUUAAGAGGAUAAAAAACCUUUGCUUACAACGUGAGUACCAAUGUUCAGUGAGGGAAAACAAUGGGAACAAAACCACUCAAAAUGAAGAUUAUGGUGGAAAAAAAAAAAUAAGAACAAUAAAUUUGACCUCUUUCUUCUUUUAAAUUUGGUUUAAUAGUAAAAGGAUUUCUAACCUUUGCACAUUUUUUGCAAUUUUCUCCAAACAUUUCAAUUUUAGCAAAUUUUCCUAUUUUAGAUUUUAGUUGCAAUUUUGUCCAAUUGGUGAAAUUGGGAAAAAAUUGAUAUUUUAAUGUAUCUUGGUAAGGAAUCAUGCAUAGCUUUCUUUCCACGCAAACAAGUUCUCAAAAUCAUGUGGAUAUGCUCAUGUUUCUAUUAGCAUCUUCCACAUGGUUAUCAAAUAGAUAGCUCAAUAUUGACAUUCAGGGGGAGUACAUAAUUAACUUGAUUAAUAUAUGCUUGUUUCUGUCCUAGAAAUAUUCAUCACUGCAGACAACAUUCGCAUCCAGAUAUCUGGAAAAAAGAAUUUGCAAUAUUUUACUAUAACUGAAAAAUAAAUGGAGGACUAAAUCUAUAUAUGUAGAUAUAUAUAGCGAUAUGAAAAUUUGAAAAUUGACACAUUAAGGCAUGUAUCAAAUGGAGGAGAGGC